CAAUAGCGUAUAUUUAAGUUGUUGCAGUUAAAAAGCUCGUAGUUGGAUUUCGGUUGAGAACGGCCGGUCCGCCGUUUGGUGUGCACUGUUCGGCGCGUCCUUCUUUCCGGAGACUAAUUCUACUCUUAACUGAGCGGAAUUGGGAGACGGAUCGUUUACUUUGAAAAAUCAGAGUGUUUCAAGCAGGCAGCUCGCUCUUGCAUGGAUUAGCAUGGGAUAAUGAAAUAGGACUCUGGUGCUAUUUUGUUGGUUUCGAACACCGGAGUAAUGAUUAACAGGGACAGUCAGGGGCACUCGUAUUCCGUCGAGAGAGGUGAAAUUCUCAGACCAAUGGAAGACGAACCACUGCGAAAGCAUUUGCCAGGGAUGUUUUCACUGAUCAAGAACGAAAGUUAGGGGAUCGAAGAUGAUUAGAUACCAU
rnacentral:rRNA from 1 species